ACCCUGAGAUCAUGACCUGAGCCGAAGGCAGCGGCUUAACCCACUAAACCACCCAGGCAUCCCGAAAAUGUGGCUAUUUUCAAAGUUAAGAUCAUUGGAG